rnacentral:rRNA from 1 species
AUUGAACGCUGGCGGCAGGCCUAACACAUGCAAGUCGAACGGUAACACGAAGCAGCUUGCUGCUUUGCUGUCGAGUGGCGGGCGGGUGAGAAACGUCUGGGAAACUGCCCGAUGGCGGGGGUUAACUCCUGGAAACGGUACCUAUUACCGCAUAACGUCGCAACACCAAAGAGCGGGACCUUAGGGCCGCUUGCCCUCGGCUGUGACCAGAUUGCAUUAGCUAGUAGGUGGGGUAACGGCUUACCAAGUCGACGAUGCGUAGCUGAUCUGAGAGGGUGGUAGGCCACACUGGAACUGAGACACGGUCCAGACUCCUACGGGAGGCAGCAGUAGGGAAUCGUGCGCAAUGGGCGAAAGCCUGACGGAGCAACGCCGCGUGAGUGAUGAAGGGCUUCGGAUCGUAAAACUCUGUUAUUAGGGAAGAACAAAUGUGUAAGUAAAUAUGCACGUCUUGACGGUACCUAAUCAGAAAGCCACGGCUAACUACGUG